rnacentral:rRNA from 1 species
AAGCCUACGGGACGCAGCAGUGGGGGAUAUUGCACAAUGGGGGAAACCCUGAUGCAGCGACGCCGCGUGGGUGAAGAAGCGCCUCGGCGCGUAAAGCCCUGUCAGCAGGGAAGAAAAUGACGGUACCUGAAGAAGAAGCCCCGGCUAACUACGUGCCAGCAGCCGCGGUAAUACGUAGGGGGCAAGCGUUAUCCGGAUUUACUGGGUGUAAAGGGGGCGCAGACGGCGAUGCAAGCCAGGAGUGAAAGCCCGGGGCCCAACCCCGGUACUGCGCUUGGAACUGCGUGGCUAGAGUGCAGUGGGAG